UUUCCUUUUCCUUUCUCUUUCUCUUUUUCUUUUUCCUGUUUUGUUUUCUUUUCACUGUUAACAUUCAAGAAAUAAAUGACUUCCUUGAAGAGAUUUUAUUCUACCUCUUGGAACUAUACAAAGUUCUGUAUGUGUUCCCUUGGUUGCAUGACAAUACUCAAGACAACUUUGUAAAUAGAUACAAAAUUUUAAUUUUUAACAUCUAGUCUUUCUAGGUGUAUAGAGUCUCACAAAGUAUACUUUUGUAAAUAAGUCAUUGUAAAAUAUCAUGGUUUCAUUGUGUUUUGAAAUGUCUUCACAAUGAAAUUGAUAAAAUUGUGGGCUUUUUAUUGUAUACAUAUUUUGGUAUCUGUGUUUUUGGAUUGUUAGGGUAAGGAAAAAGUUAAGGGUAUAUAUUUUUAACUUCAAAUUCUCAUAAGAAAGAAAAAUUAUAUUUUACCCAUUUCUUAGUAUUGUAUUAUACAUAAAAAACCUGUCAUAAUUUUGUAGUUAUAUUGAUGAUAGGGCAUUAUAUAAAUAUAAUUUUGUAGUCAUUGUAGUAAAUAUCUUUUGUAAGCAAAAUUUUCUUCUACCUCUUUGAAUGAUACAGUUUUAUAUUUACUUGGACUGCAUGACAACAUUCAAGACACUUUGUAAAUAAUGAAUACAUAUGUCAUUUUUUUAAGAUCUAACUUUUCUUGAUGCAUGGAGUGUCAACAAAGUGUAAAUUUGUAAAUGUUUCAUUGUAACAUAUUUGGCUCCUCUAAAUAUUUUGGUGUCACACAAGUAAUUAAUAAUUGGCCACGUUUGUGAGUUUUGGGGACAGCAAUGGAGUGCCUUGCCUCUAUGUCUUCCCAAAUGUUAGAGUCUCAUGUAUAAGAACGGCCACAAUUGUUCCUUGUAUGCAUUAUAUCCUUACACAAAUAGGGAACAAAAACCCUUGCAUAUAUUUUUAUUAAUAUCUUUAAAAAGAAUGAGGAAAACAUGAGAGGGAAAGGGAAAUAUCAUUUUAAUUCAAAUAUACAUUGAGUGUUACAAGAUUGCUAAAGUCAUUGUUAUUUUGCUGUAUCUACUUUUUUCAAAUUUAUAUUAAUGCAUCUAUAUUAUAAAUGUAUGUUCACACACACAUCUAAAAUUAGUUUUAAUGGUAUAGAUGUAUAGCUUUUUUUAGGGUAUUAACCUCAUUUCUUGGUUGCUGCUUUACAUUUAUUUUUAUUUUAUAAAUUACAGAAAAGAGGCUUUUAAGCUUGCACGUAUUUCUAGAAUAUUGUUAUAUCUAAAUGUAUGCUAAUUUUAUGUUAAAUAAUGAGCAGUCCCAUAUAAUUUGUUUUCUAAUAUUUUUCCAUUAUUUAUACAUCCAUAUGAGAACAGAACAAUUUUAGUUAUGAAUAUUUUUUUUUGUUUUUCUGAUUGUUUCUAAAAAUUUGCCUAUAUUACAUAUUUUUAUGUUAUGUGAUGAUAAUCAGAGAUACAUUGUUACCUAUAAUGUAAAUGAAGAAAAUUUCUUAUAAAGAUCCUAUCCACUACUGAUCAAAUUACUAAUCAGUACAUCUUUUUAAAUGGAAAGUUGACAAUGACAAUCAAAUUGAAAGUAUGUACAUUUUUUUAAGUGUUACAGUUUAAUACUGGGAUUUUAUCUAUUCCAAUUGUUCAGAUUUACAAAGAAGAAAUACAUUAUAGGUUGAGUAUAAAAACAUAAUAAUACAAAUACCUGAAAUAUCCAUUAUUAAAUAAAAGAUUGUAAUGCUUAUAGCUUAUGCAACACGGAUGUAAUUCUAAUGGUGAAAAAAUAUGCCUAUAUGGAAGGGUGUUUUGUUGGUAUUUAAAAUUAUGGUAUUUAAAAUUGGUAUUUAAAAUUAUGUCAUUUUUCUAUAAACAAAAACUAAUUGCCAGUUUACAGAGGUGUGUGUAUAUGCCUCUUGUUUUUCUAAUUGUAAUUUAAUGAUUAAUUACAAAAAUAUGAAUUAUACAUGGGGAAUACAAUCUAAUGAUUAAUACUUAAUAUGAUGAGAAUGGUGAUUAUUUGAACAUUUUCUUUUGAAUUUUUUAUACGUAAGAAUGUACAUAUUUGUAUAUUGCUAUGUGACAAAAAUCUAGAAUGAAUAUAUGAUUUAUAUGAGAAGAAAAUUGGAAGAAGAUGGCAAAGUUUUAACAGUUCUAUAUAGAGAAAUGAAGAUAGGACUGCUUCUACUUUCUGCAUUUGAAAUUUUAAAAAGGUAUUUCAAAAAUGAACAUUUAAACAAUACAGGAAAUGUUAAAGAGAAGCAAUUUGUACCUGUCUUCACCCUUGUCCAUCAGCAUCAUGGGAGUAUUGGCCUGUUGUAUCCAAUAUUUUAUUCCCAGUGGCCAUCGUGUAUGGUUUUUGAAUUAUCUCAUGAAGAAUAUAUGAUUUAUAUGCUAGUUCAGCUGAGUCUUGGCAAUGAAACAAAGAGUAUUGGAUUACCCAUGGGAAGAAGGCAGAAGAUGGAAUUGGAGGUGAUGACUGAAAAGAAACAUAUGCCAUUAUUUCUACUGCUGGCAUCACCAAAAGCAAAGUAUGGUCUUCAUAAUGUACACAGACGACUUCCCAUUUAUGUGUGUUGCAAAGAACACUCCUUUCAGAUAAAAAAAAAAAAAAUCCUAGAUGAGAAACCUCAUUUUUGGAAAGUUAUCUAAAGAGUAUCAUGGAAGUGAAUUUUAACUAGGCAUGAUUGUCUUCAUCGUUGCUGUUGGACUAAAUCUCAGGAGCUGGAAUGACUCAGACAUUGUACAAAGAAGUUCAGGAUGGUGGAAUUAAAAGGGCUUCAUCUCAGUGCUUUCAUAAAAUAUUCCCUGUCUAUAUUCACAUUAUUUUCUCUCAAUUGAUGCUUAUAAUAAUUUUUCAAGGUGGAAAAAAAUGCAGUUUUAAUUUCAUUUGAUCCAAAUUUAAUAUAUUAGGAGAGAUUAAAUCUCUGUAAAAUUGAGUCCUCCUAUCCAACUGCAAGUUAUGUCUAAGCUUGUCCAGUUUAAGAAGUGAGACCUUGUUUACCACAUGACAUUUUCAUAUCAAUCCAAAUCAUUGUACUUGUUUAUCCUUUUCGUGGACUUCAUUCUUCAAAAGUUCUGCAUAUUACCCAAGCAAGGACCAAAGAGAUUUUCUUACAGGUAAGAGCAAUUAAGGCCUACAUUCUGAUUUUUAACAUACUUUUUUUAGCUAUAUUGAUGAUAGAUUAGAUUUUUGUUUGAGUUAUCUUAUAUUAAUUUCUUUUCCUAAAAACCUACUUUGUGGCUUAUCUGAUCAUUUUUAGAUAACAUAUAAUCAAAGAUUUUAUAGUUAUCUCUUGUUAGUAAA